AUGUCCGCCGCCGGCGUUGUCCGUUUAUCGCGGUCGGCCACCAGCGUCGUCGCCAAAGCGGCGAGCGGGUUCCACCUGCUGCGCAUCGACGGCUACUCGCAGGCCAAGACGGUCCUCCCCGGCGAGAAGAUCUCCUCCACGGGCUUCACCGUCGGCAGCGAGUCCUGGCGCAUGGACUACUACCCCAACGGCCGAGACGCCGCCGCGAGAUCCAACCACGCCUCUGUCUACAUCCAGCUCACCGACGACCGCACCCGGCGCCCCGUCCAGGCGCGGUACAAGUUCAGCCUGCUGGACCACGCCGGCAACACCGCGUACGAGCUCCCGGCCGAGACCGGCUCCUUCACCGGCAUGGAAGAGCUGGAGCAUCUGAUCCGCGACGACUUCCUCGUGGUCCGGUGCGACGUCGGCCUUACGGAGAUGACGUGCUCGCGUCUGGCAGCGGACGAGAUCGACAACUGGGAAGAUGAUGAUGAAGGUGGUGAGGCGGAGGAGGGGUACUUCGGAGCACCAACUUAUUAUCCUCCCCAUCCCGGACGGGGUCGACGCCGUCGUCAGCCGGACGACACCGAGUACGUCAAGUGGUGUUUGGCCCAGCGGCCUGGUGAGCCGCGGAUCCGGCAGGGACGAUAG
rnacentral:rRNA from 1 species